GACGAACGCUGGCGGCGUGCUUAACACAUGCAAGUCGAACGCUGAAGCACCAGCUUGCUGGUGUGGAUGAGUGGCGAACGGGUGAGUAAUACGUGAGUAACCUGCCCUUGACUCUGGGAUAAGCCCGGGAAACUGGGUCUAAUACUGGAUGCUACAUGUCACCGCAUGGUGGUGUGUGGAAAGGGUUUACUGGUCUUGGAUGGGCUCACGGCCUAUCAGCUUGUUGGUGAGGUAAUGGCUCACCAAGGCGACGACGGGUAGCCGGCCUGAGAGGGUGACCGGCCACACUGGGACUGAGACACGGCCCAGACUCCUACGGGAGGCAGCAGUGGGGAAUAUUGAACAAUGGGCGAAAGCCUGAUGCAGCGACGCCGCGUGAGGGAUGACGGCCUUCGGGUUGUAAACCUCUUUCAGCAGGGAAGAAGCCACAAGUGACGGUACCUGCAGAAGAAGCGCCGGCUAACUACGUG
rnacentral:rRNA from 1 species